rnacentral:rRNA from 1 species
UACGGGGGGGGCAAGCGUUGUUCGGAAUUAUUGGGCGUAAAGAGCUUGUAGGCGGUUUGGCGCGUCUGCCGUGAAAAUCCGGGGCUCAACCCCGGACUUGCGGUGGGUACGGGCAGACUAGAGUGUGGUAGGGGAGACUGGAAUUCCUGGUGUAGCGGUGAAAUGCGCAGAUAUCAGGAGGAACACCGAUGGCGAAGGCAGGUCUCUGGGCCACUACUGACGCUGAGAAGCGAAAGCGUGGGGAGCGAACAGG